GACGAACGCUGGCGGCGUGCUUAACACAUGCAAGUCGAACGGAAAGGCCCCUUCGGGGGUACUCGAGUGGCGAACGGGUGAGUAACACGUGAGUAACCUGCCCUUGACUUCGGGAUAACUUCAGGAAACUGGGGCUAAUACCGGAUAGGAAUCCUUGCUGCAUGGUGGGGGUUGGAAAGCUUCGGCGGUUUUGGAUGGACUCGCGGCUUAUCAGCUUGUUGGUGGGGUAGUGGCUUACCAAGGCUUUGACGGGUAGCCGGCCUGAGAGGGCGACCGGCCACAUUGGGACUGAGAUACGGCCCAGACUCCGACGGGAGGCAGCAGUGGGGAAUAUUGCACAAUGGGCGGAAGCCUGAUGCAGCAACGCCGCGUGCGGGAUGACGGCCUUCGGGUUGUAAACCGCUUUCAGCAGGGGCGAAGCUUGUGGUGACGGUACCUGCAGAAGAAGCACCGGCUAACUACGUG
rnacentral:rRNA from 1 species